GUCUAUAGCCGUACCACCCUGAACAUGCCCAAUCUUGUCUGAUCUCGGAAGCUUAGCAGGGUCAGGCCUGGUUGAUACUCGGAUGGGAGAAGACC
rnacentral:rRNA from 1 species